AGAGUUUGAUCCUGGCUCAGGAUGAACGCUGGCGGCGUGCUUAAGACAUGCAAGUCGAGUGGGUUUAGACCCACGGCGAACGGGUGAGUAACACGUAGGAACUUUUUUCAAGUCGAGCAUAUCCUCCCGAAAGGGAGUGCAAUUCUCGAUGUGAUCGCAAGAUUAAAGUCGCAAGACGCUUGAAGUGAGGCCUGCGGACC
rnacentral:rRNA from 1 species